UAAACUGCACAAACAUUCUGAUUAUAAAGUGUUCUAAAUUAUGGACUAUAUUGCUUCCUGGAGUUUAUUAUUCAUUAUAUGUUUCCAUGGAGUUUGGAGUGAGAUCAAACUGGAGCAGUCUCCCUCUGAGGUGAAAAGGCCUGGAGAGAGAGUGAAGAUGUCAUGCAUCCUGUCUGGUUAUAGCCCAACAAGUUAUGAUAUAGGCUGGAUACGACAGAGACCAGGGAGAGCUCUGGAGUGGAUUGGCUGGAUGAGCACAGGCUCAAACUCUGCUCGCUAUGCCAGUUCUUUUCAAAGUCGUUUCAUCAUAACUGAAGAAGACUCCAGCAGAAGUCAGUAUCUUGAGAUUAAGAGCCUGACAGCAGAAGAUUCUGCUGUUUACUUCUGUGUAAAGUGUGAACAGUUGGCACAGUCAGCCUCUGAGACUCCAGAGCUUUGUUAA